rnacentral:tRNA from 1 species
GAAAGUAGAAGUUUUUUAAAUAUUUGACCUGCAAUCAGAAGAAGAUAAUUUUUAUUAUCCUACUUU